GAUACUAGGGACUUGGCCCCGCGCAAGCGCGGGGUUGUUGACAAUAAUUAGCUUAUAUAAUUUUCAAUUGUAUUGUUCAUAUACACUCAUGAGAAGAAAAUACCAUAAGUUGAAAGAGAAGUGGAGGUGUGUGAAUGUAUUACUUAGUAGGGACUGUGUGUUCGUUUUACCUACUAUCUCAUAUGGAGAUGGUUUAAUAAUGGAUCUUGAUUUAUUUUCAGGAGAAAACAUCAAGACCGAUGAACCCAAGAAAGAAGAGUCUAAGUCUGCAGAAGUCACAGAGAACUGAUCAAAGGCUUUGGAAGUUGAAUAAGACAUUUCUAUUAAGUUGCAUAGCUUGGUUUCAUCAGAAGGAAAAUGAGAUCAGAGACAAUUGAAUUCAAUCCUAUACUGUUUUUUUUUUCAAAUUACAUUUUUCGUUCUUUUUUUUGUUGUCAAUCUCAUGAUAUCAAAUAUCCUAUUUAUGUUAUUUGAUUUGUUCAGAUACAUUUUACAUUUCCAAUAUACAGACCAAUCAGCUGCA